GAAUCGAUCUCACUGCAGCUUCAGGAUCCUGCCUUCACCAAGGUUCAUGGAGGACACGGUCUCUUGUUGUCAUCGUCAUGAGGAGGCUUGUGAGGUGGCUUUUCGUCAUCGUGAGGAGGCUUAUGAGGAGGCUUUUCGUCAUCGUGAGGAGGCUUGUGAGGAGGCUUUUCGUCAUCGUGAGGAGGCUUGUGAGGAGGUUUUUCGCCAUCGUGAGGAGGCUUUUCUUCAUCGUGAGGAGGUUUGUGUGGAGGCUUAUCACCACCAAGAGAAGACUUGUGAGGAUGCUUGUCACAGUGGUAGAAUUCCAUGUCGGGUUCAGAAGGCUUCGCCCACUUCUCAUACGCUUCCACCAGCGUUCGCCCUUCUACCGCUCCACCGUCUCUGGCGAAGUUCGUAACUGCCAACACCAGAGCCACUGCAAUGGCCAGGGCUUGAUCAACUUUCACCACCGCCAUGCCUGACCGACUGAUAGGUUCC
rnacentral:lncRNA from 1 species